rnacentral:rRNA from 1 species
GACGAACGCUGGCGGCGCGCCUAACACAUGCAAGUCGAACGAGAGAUGAGGAGCUUGCUCUUCAAAUCGAGUGGCGAACGGGUGAGUAACGCGUGAGGAACCUGCCUCAAAGAGGGGGACAACAGUUGGAAACGACUGCUAAUACCGCAUAAGCCCACGGCUCGGCAUCGAGCAGAGGGAAAAGGAGCAAUCCGCUUUGAGAUGGCCUCGCGUCCGAUUAGCUAGUUGGUGAGGUAACGGCCCACCAAGGCGACGAUCGGUAGCCGGACUGAGAGGUUGAACGGCCACAUUGGGACUGAGACACGGCCCAGACUCCUACGGGAGGCAGCAGUGGGGAAUAUUGCACAAUGGGGGAAACCCUGAUGCAGCGACGCCGCGUGGAGGAAGAAGGUCUUCGGAUUGUAAACUCCUGUUGUUGAGGAAGAUAAUGACGGUACUCAACAAGGAAGUGACGGCUAACUACGUGCCAGCAGCCGCGGUAAAACGUAGGUCACAAGCGUUGUCCGGAAUUACUGGGUGUAAAGGGAGCGCAGGCGGGAGAACAAGUUGGAAGUGAAAUCCAUGGGCUCAACCCAUGAACUGCUUUCAAAACUGUUUUUCUUGAGUAGUGCAGAGGUAGGCGGAAUUCCCGGUGUAGCGGUGGAAUGCGUAGAUAUCGGGAGGAACACCAGUGGCGAAGGCGGCCUACUGGGCACCAACUGACGCUGAGGCUCGAAAGUGUGAGUAGCAAACAGGAUUAGAUACCCUGGUAGUCCACACCGUAAACGAUGAUUACUAGGUGUUGGAGGAUUGACCCCUUCAGUGCCGCAGUUAACACAAUAAGUAAUCCACCUGGGGAGUACGACCGCAAGGUUGAAACUCAAAGGAAUUGACGGGGGCCCGCACAAGCAGUGGAGUAUGUGGUUUAAUUCGACGCAACGCGAAGAACCUUACCAAGUCUUGACAUCCCUUGACGAUGCUGGAAACAGUAUUUCUCUUCGGAGCAAGGAGACAGGUGGUGCAUGGUUGUCGUCAGCUCGUGUCGUGAGAUGUUGGGUUAAGUCCCGCAACGAGCGCAACCCUUAUGGUCAGUUACUACGCAAGAGGACUCUGGCCAGACUGCCGUUGACAAAACGGAGGAAGGUGGGGAUGACGUCAAAUCAUCAUGCCCUUUAUGACUUGGGCUACACACGUACUACAAUGGCGUUAAACAAAGAGAAGCAAGACCGCGAGGUGGAGCAAAACUCAGAAACAACGUCCCAGUUCGGACUGCAGGCUGCAACUCGCCUGCACGAAGUCGGAAUUGCUAGUAAUCGUGGAUCAGCAUGCCACGGUGAAUACGUUCCCGGGCCUU